AUGACGGAGGCGGAGGCGGCGGCGAGAGUGGUGGUGGGGGAGGCGGCUGUUCGGGUGGAGCCCCCCUCCGGUACCGACGGUGUGGUUCUGGCGGCGGCGGAGCUUCGAGUGGUGAUCUCGAACCAAGAAGUCCCAUUGAUACUGCUGGGGUUUGGUCACGUUGGCCAGAAGACGCCGGAGUUGGCACCGGUGGCGUGUAACAGGAGCGAGCUCGGCCUUCCUCUGUGGACUUCGAAGUGA
rnacentral:rRNA from 1 species